rnacentral:rRNA from 1 species
ACGAACGCUGGCGGCGUGCUUAACACAUGCAAGUCGAACGGAAAGGCCCUGCUUUUGUGGGGUGCUCGAGUGGCGAACGGGUGAGUAACACGUGAGUAACCUGCCCUUGACUUUGGGAUAACUUCAGGAAACUGGGGCUAAUACCGGAUAGGAGCUCCUGCUGCAUGGUGGGGGUUGGAAAGUUUCGGCGGUUGGGGAUGGACUCGCGGCUUAUCAGCUUGUUGGUGGGGUAGUGGCUUACCAAGGCUUUGACGGGUAGCCGGCCUGAGAGGGUGACCGGCCACAUUGGGACUGAGAUACGGCCCAGACUCCUACGGGAGGCAGCAGUGGGGAAUAUUGCACAAUGGGCGGAAGCCUGAUGCAGCAACGCCGCGUGCGGGAUGACGGCCUUCGGGUUGUAAACCGCUUUCGCCUGUGACGAAGCGUGAGUGACGGUAAUUGGUAAAGAAGCACCGGCUAACUACGUG